rnacentral:lncRNA from 1 species
GAGAGAAGACAGCAGGUUGGCGUGGGCGGGGACCCACGGGGAAAACGCGUCGGGUAGGAAAGGAGACUGGGUUCGCGCCCCAGCUCUGCCCACCGGAUUCCUGAGUGACAGACGCCCGCCGUCCCUCGGCCACCCGUGUCAAAUGCGACAGCCAAACUCAGUGCUCAGAGCGCCUUCCCGCCAUAUCCCCGGGUCACUCCAUCUUCCUCUGUCCAAGACAAAGGCCCCGGAGAGCGCAGAUGCCCUCGGGGCAGGUGCUGUGGCUUCCCCGAGCUGGCACCGAGGUCACUUGGGCGCGUGGUACCUGCACCCCGGAGCCCCUGCCCCGUGGGGCACCAAAGGGAGAGGGAGCCCCAGCCAGUGGCCUGCAACCCGGAGCGGGCCAGGCGCGGGGGAGAACGCCUGUUCUGGCCCCCAGUGAAGCUUCCCCCUGCCCAGGCUCUCGUCUCGCUCAGCACCUGGGUCGUCUGCCCCAGGGCCGCAGCCCCCUGCGCAGCACGAGACACCCCGCAGUAGCCCCGGGAACCCUCAGCUUCGCCCCCAUCCCCCACCUCCAUUCCAGCCCCUCGUGACCCAAGGAAGUUCACGGCCCCCUCCUUCCGGCUUGGUCCAGGCUUGGAGGACUCCAGCUCCCAGGCUCAGGCGGCCCUCCCACCUCUCCCGGAGAAUGGGGUGACAGGGGAAGACCAGGAGAGGGGGCGACAGGAAGGGCGAUGCCGGGUGAAGCAUGGGCGAGGGUCGGAAGCCAGGACAUUAGGGGGCAGGGGGACUUGGUGGGGCGCUGGGGAGCUCUCUGGGUCUCGGAAGUCCCUUUUGCGAGCUGAGCGACCACUCUCAAAGCUCUCCGGCUCUCUCUGCCUCAGUCUCCCCAUCUGGAAGUGAGGUCGUUGAACUCAGUGAUCCCCGCGGUCUCUGCCCGACGGAGCGGGGUGGGUGGGGUCGGCUGGGGGUCGGCGCGGGGGCCCGCUCACCUGCCAGGGCGGCGCCGCAGGUGGUGAUGAGCACCGCCGCCAGCACCCCUGGCGAGGGCGCGCCGUUCUUGAGCACCAGGACGCCGAUGAGCAUGGUGACCAGGGGCAGGCAGCGCUUGAAGACCACGUACAUGGGCAGGCUGAGGCCGCGCAGGGACCAGAGCGUGAGGCUGGACUGCAGCGUGGAGAGCACCGCGACCCCCGCGAAGGAGCGCGCCAGGCUCAGACCGAAGGGGGGCACGGCGAUGAGCCCGAGGCGCCGCAGCAGCUCCAGGCUCAGCGCCGCGGUGGAGCUGGUCAGGCACUGCACCAGGGUCAGGAAGGAGAACUGGUAGCGGCUGAUGAGGAACUUGAGCAAGAUGUUGAGGGAGCCCGAGAAGACCCCGUGCGCGAUGGCCACCGAGAUGCCCAGCACGCGGCCCCGGCACAGCUGCCGCAUCGCGCCGGCCUCGCCGCACCCAGCGGUGGCGGAGCUCCGCGACCUGCGCGCGAGGAGCCGGGAGCAGCGGAGUGAGGGCGGCGGGGGCGCCCGCCCAGCGCGGCGGCGAAGGGCAGGGGGCGCCGGCUCGGCUGCAGAGGGCAGCUCCGGCCAGGCGUUCUUGCGGUUAGGCAGCUCUGCGUCCGACUGCCCCGCAGCUCCGGGGAGGCAGUGACGAGGGCGGGGGACUCCGAAAAGUGGCAGAGGUGGCGGGGGGGCCGGUCUGAGAGGAGUGGCGGGAAUCCUAGCGACAGCUAUUUGUAAGUGGGUGAUGAGCCGCGGUGGGUUGUGUCCCGCGCGGUUUCACCGUCAGGGAAGACGCUCUGCGGAGGGAAGCGGGCGGCUGGGCGCCCCGGGGCGGCUGCCGCAGGGCGGGACGGGGGCUCUUGGGGCGCGGCGCCCCUCUCCCCCCACAGAGCCAGCGGCUCUCGCUUGCCCCUUCCUCCUGGCCGAGGGGCUUGGGUUGGAGGGAUCGGGACACAGCUAAAGAUUUUAGAAACAGCGCAUCAGGAUCGAGCGCCGUUUAUUGGUCGCAACAAGUGACGGCGCCCCCAGCCCCCUCGCCCCGGCGCUGCAGCGGCUUUUUCCACCCACUGUCCCUCCCGGUGCAGCGGCGGGACCUCGUCCAGCUGCCCGCCAGGGAAGCGAAAACCGUCGGUGCCGGCGGGCCCCCGAAGCUCCCGAUCCCGGCGACGACGCCCGGGCAUCGGAGGAGGAACCCGCGGCCCGGGGCGCUGUCCAGGGGGUGCCUCGGAGCCCGGAAGCUGGCUCCUUCCGGUGCCAGGCCACGCGCACCGCUCUCCGCACGCCUUCCAGAGAGGGUCCCGGGAUUAUGCGCGCGGCUCCGGGGAAGCUUUCAGGGGGUUCAGUGGUCUCGCCCAGCAGCGGGGCCUGGUGGCGGGGACACAUUCGAACUGAGGCAAAGAUGAAAAUAAGCAAACGCGCAGAAACGAAGUCACUAACACGAGUAGCCACCACCAGGAACCGAGGAGCUCGGGGGCGACGCUUCCCGAAGCGUGGGAGGGGAGGCUGGCUGCGCUCGCAGAAUGGGAGAGUAGAGGGGGAGGGGGCGGGAACCCGGGGCCCCUCACCCUGCAGGGAGACUCCGCGUGGCGUUCUCCGGAUCCCAGGGAACUGAUCCCAGGGAACCCUCACCCUGCGGGACCGUCGUGGGUUGCUUUCGGAAGCAGGACAACCGGCAGGCGGAGGGCGGGGAGAGUCACCACCUCCCUGGGCCAGGGUUCACACCUUUGCACCACAGGACUUGUGAACUGUGUGUUUCCUAUAUGACUAAGAGAAAAAGGGAAUUCUAAUUUUGGAGAGGGAGUAAGGCUUCGGUAACUCUUUGUUCUGAAUUCAGUUCCCUGGAAAGUAACUCGCGCGGACCUGUAGUUAAAUCAGCAGCAGCCAAGGGUUUCGCUCAGCCGAGGUAACCGUUAAGCGCCAGACAGUUUGGUUUUCAGGCGAUUUGAAAUUUGUGGCCUUGGCCAGGGUUUGGCUAUAAGGGAAAGGUUCGAGAUCGCUGCGCUCCAGCACCCCUUUCGUUCACCACCAGCAGUUUAUUUCUCUUAGCCCCGGGAAUCGUAACCUCCUAACCUUUUAGCGCUGCAUCACGUUGCCUUAAUAGACAGGAUCCAUUUCUCUCGUGGUUCUUCUGUUUUCUGCCUCUUACUUCCACCUCUGUGCUGAACGCGACACUUCAGCCAAAGUGCUGAAGUCGUGAUUUACCGCAACAGAGGAAGAAAAAAAAAUUACAGCAGGGAUCAGCAGCAUCACAGCAGCCCUUCAUUUGGGCCAGCAUUUGGGGCUCUGGAUGCUCACUUUGGUGAGCUCUAGAGAGCUCGGGGUCAACCAGUCCACCAGCUUAUGUGCCCGGUGCCUAGGAGGGCCACGUCCCUGCUCCCGACAGGUGGGCACUCAAAAAAAGUUUGUGAAUGGCCCAGGGUGCCAACUUUCCAGGAAUAGCUGGAAAGCAUUAUACUGAAACACGUGCUUCCGGUUCUCUGGGGAGCCCUUGGUUUUUGUUGCUAAAACUUGUGGUUACACACUAUUGGCUGUUUAAGUGACUCUGUUUUUGUAGAGUUAAUGUUAUUUAGGAAAUAAUGAAGUCUGAAGCACCAGUUCAAAUUAUGUGUAUGUGUGUGGUAUAGUCAAAAUAUAUUGAUUCAAAACUCUGAAAAUUAACUUUUUACAGAUAUCAGCAAAUAACAGAUUUCUGCUUCUAGAGACUAUCCCAAUAAAAGCAUGGCUGCUUUAAGCCAUCCUAAGUGCAUAUUAUUAAUAUAAAGAAGUGGCUGCACAAACCUACUUUUGGAAUGAUUCAUUUCUGCCCGCAAUUAUAAUUGCAUCCAUUUGUGAUACUAACAUUAGGUAAAAGAUUUGGGGCUGAUUCAGCUAUCUUACUCUUCUCAUUUAUGCAAGACAAUUUAGCUUAAUAUUUGAAACCUACAGAGGCAUAAAACCGCACAUUUUCUCCACUUUGUUGCAUGCAAUUCUUUUGGAAAGAAAAAAACCUUAACCCCCAUCUCCCACAAAACCAGAUACUAGAUGAGCUCCUUUUAAAAAUUGUGAAAAAUUAAGAAUACCAUGUUUAGCGAGGUUAAAUGAUCUAGAUGAAUAAAAAUGUAGAUCUAAAGGUUAAAUAGCUAUUUGACCUAUUGGUAUCAGGGUACCAAGGGUCUAGACUCAAGCACAUCACCUUUGGAGCUACUUAAUAAAUAUUAAUGACAUUAAAUAAAUCCUUUAGUUUAUCCAUUCAUUCAACAAACAUAUAGUACAAGUAUUUUGUGCUAAGUAUUCUGUUAGCCACAGAGGACUUAAAGAUGAACACAGCGCCUUCAUCCUUAGCAACAGUGGGAUUGUGUGGCAGAAAAGGGGGGAGCGCCAGGAGGGCAAGUACAUCAGCUUGACAGCAGUAGCAGACAAAGCUUCCUGGAGAAGGAAUUACAGUGUCUUUGAAAACUUACUUCAUUAUUUCUAAUUAUAAAAGUAACACAGGCUCAUUGUGGUACAUAAAAGAAAAACAAAUUUAUAAUUAAGUAAACGCGCUCUCUUCAGUGUUCACCAUCCCCAACCUUACUACACAGAGCUUGCUGUGUUCAGUGUGGAAACUUUCAGUCUUUUUUGUAUGUAUGUUUAUACACACGCAAACUCCUCCUUUAAAAAAAUAACAAAACUAGGAUAUCAUAUAUAUUUGUCUAUAAUUUCCUACUUUAAAAAGCGUAUUAUGGUAAUUAGCCUUCUAGAUAGUCUCCAGUGAUACCCGCUUCCUGGUAUUCACACCCUUAUGUUAACUCCUCCCACGCUGUACCAGGGUUGGUCUGUGUAGCUAACAGAACCUGGCAGAAGUGAUGACGGUCACUCCUGACUUUAGGUUAUACUGAGACUUCCAUCUUGUAUGUCCUUUUUUCUCUUGUAUCAUUGAGUCUGGGGAAGCCGAAUGCCACAUUGUAGGGACAUUCUGCCUAUGGAAAAUCCCAUGUGGUUGAGUAAUUGAGGCCUGAUAACCAUGUGAAUAGCUGUGAUGUCAUGAGAAAACCUGAGCUCAAACAACUCAGUUGUUUCUGGAUUCCUGACCAUAGAAACUGUGAGAUGAUAAAUGUGUGUUGUUUAAAACUACUAAGUUUUGGAGUGAUUUUUUACAUAGAAAUAGCAUAUUUUUUCAAAUGACUUAUUCUUUUCAAUAACUGUUCUACAGUAUAACCUUUCUGUUGACAGGCAUUUGGGUUUUAGCAAACGAUGUAAUGAAUACCCUUGGACAUAGCCAUACUUCUACAGGUAUUUUGGGAAAGGGGGAGAGAGGGAAUCCUAGAAGUGGAAUUGCUGGGUCAAAGGGUAAUUUAAAAUUUUGGCCGGGUACGGUGGCUCAUGCCUGUAAUCCCAGCACUUUAGGAGGCCAAGCCAGGUAGAUCACUUGAGGUCAGGAGUUCAAGACCAGCCUGAUCAACAUGGUGAAACCCUGUCUCUACUAAAAAUACAAAAAUUAGCCAGGUAUGGUGGCACGUGCCUGUAAUCUCAACUGCUCUGGAGGCUGAGGCAGCAGAAUCACUGAAACCGGGAGGUGGAGGUUGCUGUGAGCCGAGAUCAUGCGGCUGCACUCCAGCCUGGGUAAAAGAGUGAGACUC